rnacentral:rRNA from 1 species
GACGAACGCUGGCGGCGUGCUUAACACAUGCAAGUCGAACGGAAAGGCCCUGCUUUUGCGGGGUGCUCGAGUGGCGAACGGGUGAGUAACACGUGAGUACCCUGCCCUUGACUUCGGGAUAACUUCAGGAAACUGGGGCUAAUACCGGAUAGGAGCUCCUGCUGCAUGGUGUGGGUUGGAAAGUUUCGGCGGUUGGGGAUGGACUCGCGGCUUAUCAGCUUGUUGGUGGGGUAGUGGCUUACCAAGGCAUUGACGGGUAGCCGGCCUGAGAGGGUGACCGGCCACAUUGGGACUGAGGUACGGGCCAGACUCCUACGGGGGGCAGCAGUGGGGAAUAUUGCACAAUGGGCGGAAGGCUGAAGCAGCAACGCCGCAUGCGGGAUGACGGCCUUCGGGUUGUAAACCGCUUUCGCCUGUGACGAAGCGUGAGUGACGGUAAUGGGUAAAGAAGCACCGGCUAACUACGUG